AUGGCUCAGGAUGAACGCUAGCGACAGGCCUAACACAUGCAAGUCAGGGGCAGCACAAGGAGCAAUCUGAGUGGCGACCGGCGCACGGGUGAGUAACACGUAUGCAACCUGCCUGUAAGCGGGGAAUAACCCGUUGAAAGACGGACUAAUACCGCAUAAUACUAAAUUACUGCAUGGUAAUUUAUUUAAACAUUUAUGGCUUACAGACGGGCAUGCGCAUGAUUAGCUAGUUGGAGAGGUAACGGCUCCCCAAGGCAACGAUCAUUAGGGGUUCUGAGAGGAAGGUCCCCCCACACUGGUACUGAGACACGGACCAGACUCCUACGGGAGGCAGCAGUGAGGAAUAUUGGUCAAUGGACGAGAGUCUGAACCAGCCAAGUCGCGUGCAGGAAGAAUUGUCCUAUGGAUUGUAAACUGCUUUUGCAGGGGAAUAAAGUGCAUCACGUGUGAUGUUUUGUAUGUACUCUGCGAAUAAGGAUCGGCUAACUCCGUGCCAGCAGCCGC
rnacentral:rRNA from 1 species